rnacentral:rRNA from 1 species
UCGAGCGAACGGAUAAGGAGCUUGCUCCUUUGAAGUUAGCGGCGGACGGGUGAGUAACACGUGGGUAACCUACCUAUAAGACUGGAAUAACUUCGGGAAACCGGAGCUAAUGCCGGAUAACAUAUAGAACCGCAUGGUUCUAUAGUGAAAGAUGGUUUUGCUAUCACUUAUAGAUGGACCCGCGCCGUAUUAGCUAGUUGGUAAGGUAAUGGCUUACCAAGGCGACGAUACGUAGCCGACCUGAGAGGGUGAUCGGCCACACUGGAACUGAGACACGGUCCAGACUCCUACGGGAGGCAGCAGUAGGGAAUCUUCCGCAAUGGGCGAAAGCCUGACGGAGCAACGCCGCGUGAGUGAUGAAGGUUUUCGGAUCGUAAAACUCUGUUAUUAGGGAAGAACAAAUGCGUAAGUAACUGUGCGCAUCUUGACGGUACCUAAUCAGAAAGCCACGGCUAACUACGUGC